rnacentral:rRNA from 1 species
AAAUUGAAGAGUUUGAUCAUGGCUCAGAUUGAACGCUGGCGGCAGGCCUAACACAUGCAAGUCGAACGGUAACAGGAAGCAGCUUGCUGCUUCGCUGACGAGUGGCGGACGGGUGAGUAAUGUCUGGGAAACUGCCUGAUGGAGGGGGAUAACUACUGGAAACGGUAGCUAAUACCGCAUAAUGUCGCAAGACCAAAGAGGGGGACCUUCGGGCCUCUUGCCAUCGGAUGUGCCCAGAUGGGAUUAGCUUGUUGGUGGGGUAACGGCUCACCAAGGCGACGAUCCCUAGCUGGUCUGAGAGGAUGACCAGCCACACUGGAACUGAGACACGGUCCAGACUCCUACGGGAGGCAGCAGUGGGGAAUAUUGCACAAUGGGCGCAAGCCUGAUGCAGCCAUGCCGCGUGUAUGAAGAAGGCCUUCGGGUUGUAAAGUACUUUCAGCGGGGAGGAAGGGAGUAAAGUUAAUACCUUUGCUCAUUGACGUUACCCGCAGAAGAAGCACCGGCUAACUCCGUGCCAGCAGCCGCGGUAAUACGGAGGGUGCAAGCGUUAAUCGGAAUUACUGGGCGUAAAGCGCACGCAGGCGGUUUGUUAAGUCAGAUGUGAAAUCCCCGGGCUCAACCUGGGAACUGCAUCUGAUACUGGCAAGCUUGAGUCUCGUAGAGGGGGGUAGAAUUCCAGGUGUAGCGGUGAAAUGCGUAGAGAUCUGGAGGAAUACCGGUGGCGAAGGCGGCCCCCUGGACGAAGACUGACGCUCAGGUGCGAAAGCGUGGGGAGCAAACAGGAUUAGAUACCCUGGUAGUCCACGCCGUAAACGAUGUCGACUUGGAGGUUGUGCCCUUGAGGCGUGGCUUCCGGAGCUAACGCGUUAAGUCGACCGCCUGGGGAGUACGGCCGCAAGGUUAAAACUCAAAUGAAUUGACGGGGGGCCCGCACAAGCGGUGGAGCAUGUGGUUUAAUUCGAUGCAACGCGAAGAACCUUACCUGGUCUUGACAUCCACGGAAGUUUUCAGAGAUGAGAAUGUGCCUUCGGGAACCGUGAGACAGGUGCUGCAUGGCUGUCGUCAGCUCGUGUUGUGAAAUGUUGGGUUAAGUCCCGCAACGAGCGCAACCCUUAUCCUUUGUUGCCAGCGGUCCGGCCGGGAACUCAAAGGAGACUGCCAGUGAUAAACUGGAGGAAGGUGGGGAUGACGUCAAGUCAUCAUGGCCCUUACGACCAGGGCUACACACGUGCUACAAUGGCGCAUACAAAGAGAAGCGACCUCGCGAGAGCAAGCGGACCUCAUAAAGUGCGUCGUAGUCCGGAUUGGAGUCUGCAACUCGACUCCAUGAAGUCGGAAUCGCUAGUAAUCGUGGAUCAGAAUGCCACGGUGAAUACGUUCCCGGGCCUUGUACACACCGCCCGUCACACCAUGGGAGUGGGUUGCAAAAGAAGUAGGUAGCUUAACCUUCGGGAGGGCGCUUACCACUUUGUGAUUCAUGACUGGGGUGAAGUCGUAACAAGGUAACCGUAGGGGAACCUGCGGUUGGAUCACCUCCUUA